rnacentral:rRNA from 1 species
UCUAUGGCCAUACCACCCUGAACACGCCUGAUCUCAUAUAAUCUUGGAAGCUAAGCAGGGUUGGGCCUGGUUAGUACUUGGAUAGGAGAUGGAAUUUCUAUCCGAACAAAGAA